UGCGGUCCUGGCUCUUGUGUAAGAAUUCUGACUGCACUAACCAUGCCUAGGAAGGAAAGGAGUUGUUGUUUUGUAAAGGAUUGAGGUUUGGAAGAUUAAUCGGACACGGUCAGCAGGGAGAGCACUUGUGUUUUUAUGAGAAUUAUGCCGAGAUAGGUAACAGAUGAGGAUGAAAUUUGGGCUUGACUGAAGUAAUGGGGGCUGUCUGUGAAGCCCUGUGGCAGUACAGCCCAGGGCUUCCAAGGCGAUCGGGCAGCGUCAGUCUUCAGCCGCUAAGCUGAGAAGAUCUGGGAAGGAGUCAGAGAGCCUUGGGCCAGAGUUCCAGGGGCUUUGGAAGUGGCUACCAGCAGCCCCUGGAUCUCACCUCAACUUCUGCCCACAGCAGCCACAGCAUCACUACCUGAUCCUCUUCAGGAGGAGUGGUCUGUGUGAAGAGGAGAGUGACAGGAAAGGGGGACAAGUCUCCAGGGACUCAGGGACUACUUAGUAGAAAGUGUCCUUAUAGGUGGUUUCCUAGACUUACAUCUGACCUCCACCAUUGAUUUGGUCGCCAUCCACAGAAAAGGGCAAAGGGACAAAAUAGAAAUCGAAAUCCAGCGAGCGAAAUGUGAUGAUGAGGGCCUCAUCACCUUUGGCACACCGUACUGGCUCUGCUAUACUUGAUACUGUCCAUUUUCCAAUAUAAUUGGGGAAAAAAUAUGGUGAUCAGAUGCCCGUCACCCACACCAAUCUCCCUGCUGUGGGCUGAGUUGUGUCUCCCCAACAUUCACACAUUGAUCUAACCCCUGGGACCUCAGAAUGUGAAUGUAUUUGGAGAUAGAGUUCAGUCACCUUUAUAGAGGUGAUUGAGCUAAAAUGAAGUCAUUUGGGUGACCCCUAAUCCCAUAUGACUGGUUCCCUUAAAAGAAAAGGAGAUGAGGACACAGACACACACAGAGGGAAGACCACGUGAGGACACAGGGAGAUGACGGCUGUCUGCAAGACAUCGAUUUCCAGCCUCCAGCACUGUGAGAAAAUAGAUUUCUGUUGUUCACACCACUCAGUCUGUGGCACUUUGUUAGGGCAGUCCUGGCAAACUAAUACACUCCCCUUAAGUCAAACUUGGAUAUACCUAACAUUUGUAAAGAACGGUUACUUCAAAAAAAAAAAAAGCUUUUGUAACCAUUUUCUUUUGGAUCCUUCCAACAACUCUGCAAGAUAUCACAAUGGUUAUUUUGCAAAUGGAGGAACUGAGGCUUAAGAAAGUAAAGGAAUUUACUUCUUGUGCAGCAAUAAUGGGCAGAGCUGCGGGACUGGAGCUGCCCUUGCCCUCUGCUCUCCUAGCAAUUUUCUUUUAUGAGCAAACCUACACGGUGUAAACCUCCUGGGCAACUGUUCUUUUCUGCACACUUCACUAUAUGAACGUGGAACAUUUAUAGAGAUAGCCUGUAAGAGCUGAAUUCCUGCUGCCUCUAACUCCAGACACUUUCGCCUGAAUGUGUACUUCUCACUACUGAUAAACCCGUGACUCAGCUGGAAAUCCUCGUGGUGAAGGAACUGAACACAGAAAACACACAUUCGUAAAGACCAGGUGUGGAAGUCUCCAGCCCUGUUUGCACCGCAGCAGACAGGGACACCACAGCCACACGGUACUUGGAAACCCGAGCUUGAGAUGAUUGAUGGAAGUGUUAAAAUGCCAGAGCAUUUGGGGAAUGUGGUAUGGGCAGUCCCAGAAGAAAUGGCCCUGCUCAGAUGCCAUCCUGUGGGGUGCGGCUUAAUGGGGCCACUCACUCAUCUGGGAUGUGAAACUUUGAAGACAAAUACCUGUUUACUUCAUUCGCCCCAGAUUUUAUACAUGCUUUUUAAAAAACAACUUUAUUCAUGUAUAGCUAGGAUAAAAUGAACAGCACAUAUUUAAAGUGCCCAAUUUGAUGAAUUUUGAUAUUGGUGUACAUGUGUGAAACUGUCAUCACAAUCAAAAUAACAAACGCCUCCAUCAUUUCCAAGUUUCCCCAUGUCCUUUGUAAGCCCACCUUGCUCCCCCUUCCCCCACACAAGCCCAACCUCCCAUCCCUUCCCAGCAAUCAUUGAUACGUUUUCUGUCUCUAUGGCUUAGUUUGCAUUUUCUAGAAUUUUAUAUAAAUGAAAUCAUACAGUAUGUGUUAUUUUUGUCUGGCUUUUUUUUCCAUUUAGCAUAAUUACUUUGAAAUCUGCCCAUACUGUUGUCUGUAUCAAUAGUGUAUUCCUUUCAUCUCUGAGUGUCAUUCCAUUUUGUGGAAAUGCCAUAAUUUGCUUAUUCAUUUGCCUGUU